AAACUAAAGAGUUUGAUCCUGGCUCAGAUUGAACGCUGGCGGCAUGCCUUACACAUGCAAGUCGAACGGCAGCACGGAGCUUGCUCUGGUGGCGAGUGGCGAACGGGUGAGUAAU
rnacentral:rRNA from 1 species